GUGAGUAAUGUCUGGGAAACUGCCUGAUGGAGGGGGAUAACUACUGGAAACGGUAGCUAAUACCGCAUAACGUCGCAAGACCAAAGAGGGGGACCUUCGGGCCUCUUGCCAUCGGAUGUGCCCAGAUGGGAUUAGCUAGUAGGUGGGGUAACGGCUCACCUAGGCGACGAUCCCUAGCUGGUCUGAGAGGAUGACCAGCCACACUGGAACUGAGACACGGUCCAGACUCCUACGGGAGGCAGCAGUGGGGAAUAUUGCACAAUGGGCGCAAGCCUGAUGCAGCCAUGCCGCGUGUAUGAAGAAGGCCUUCGGGUUGUAAAGUACUUUCAGCGGGGAGGAAGGGAGUAAAGUUAAUACCUUUGCUCAUUGACGUUACCCGCAGAAGAAGCACCGGCUAACUCCGUGCCAGCAGCCGCGGUAAUACGGAGGGUGCAAGCGUUAAUCGGAAUUACUGGGCGUAAAGCGCACGCAGGCGGUUUGUUAAGUCAGAUGUGAAAUCCCCGGGCUCAACCUGGGAACUGCAUCUGAUACUGGCAAGCUUGAGUCUCGUAGAGGGGGGUAGAAUUCCAGGUGUAGCGGUGAAAUGCG
rnacentral:rRNA from 1 species